ACCUUGAUGGUGUGUCUAGUGGUUAGGAUUCCUGGCUUCCCUUCAUCCAGGCUCCCCAGGUUCAAUUUCGGGGCAGGGAG
rnacentral:tRNA from 1 species